UCUUACGGAUAAGCAAAGAAAGUGGUUUCUUGAGGUGGAACCUACUCCUGGUAAAGAUGCUAUGAA
rnacentral:pre_miRNA from 1 species